ACUGGGGAUAAUUCCGGAUAGGUCACAGAUGCUGGAAUGCACUGUGGCUCAAAGCUCCGGCGCCGAAGGAUGGGUCUGCGGCCUAUCAGGGUUGUAGUGGGUGUAAUGUACCUACUAGCCUACGACGGGUACGGGUUGUGAGAGCAAGAGCCCGGAGAUGGAUUCUGAGACACGAAUCCAGGCCCUACGGGGUGCAGCAGGCGCGAAAACUUUACAAUGCGGGAAACCGUGAUAAGGGAAUCUCGAGUGCCAGCAUAUAAUGUUGGCUGUCCAGAUGCCUAAAAAGCAUCUGUUAGCAAGGGCCGGGCAAGACCGGUGCCAGCCGCCGCGGUAACACCGGCGGCCCGAGUGGUAACCGCUUUUAUUGGGUCUAAAGGGUCUGUAGCCGGCCAUGUAAGUCCCUUGGGAAAUCUGGCAGCUCAACUGUCAGGCUGCUAGGGGAUACUGCUUGGCUUGGGACCGGGAGAGGUGAGAGGUACCUUGAGGGUAGGGGUGAAAUCUUGUGAUCCUCGGGGGACCACCAGUGGCGAAGGCGUCUCACCAGAACGGGUCCGACGGUAAGGGACGAAAGCUAGGGGCACGAACCGGAUUAGAUACCCGGGUAGUCCUAGCCGUAAACGAUGCUCGCUAGGUGUCAGUCACGGUGCGACCGUGAUUGGUGCCGUAGGGAAGCCGUGAAGCGAGCCACCUGGGAAGUACGGCCGCAAGGCUGAAACUUAAAGGAAUUGGCGGGGGAGCACUACAACGGGUGGAGCCUGCGGUU
rnacentral:rRNA from 1 species